UGGGGAAUAUUGGUCAAUGGGCGAGAGCCUGAACCAGCCAAGUAGCGUGCAGGAUGACGGCCCUAUGGGUUGUAAACUGCUUUUAUGUGGGGAUAAAGUGCGUGACGUGUCAUGCAUUGCAGGUACCACAUGAAUAAGGACCGGCUAAUUCCGUGCCAGCAGCCGCGGUAAUACGGAAGGUCCGGGCGUUAUCCGGAUUUAUUGGGUUUAAAGGGAGCGUAGGCUGUCUAUUAAGCGUGUUGUGAAAUUUACCGGCUCAACCGGUGGCUUGCAGCGCGAACUGGUCGACUUGAGUAUGCAGGAAGUAGGCGGAAUUCAUGGUGUAGCGGUGAAAUGCUUAGAUAUCAUGACGAACUCCGAUUGCGCAGGCAGCUUACUGUAGCAUAACUGACGCUGAUGCUCGAAAGUGCGGGUAUCAAACAGG
rnacentral:rRNA from 1 species